UGUCGCUGCACAUGGUGGACGGCAGCUUUGCUUGCUAUGGCAUCGGCCCCCGUGGGGUGGGUGCCAGCCCCUCCCCUCUGCCACGUGCGAGGUGGCCCUCGGUGAAGCUGGGAAGGUCUGCUCAGGCUGCAGACCCAAGAGAAAAGUUUGCCAAGUGACAAUGAAAAGACAGCAGCCAAGUCAAGGACAGAGGAGCUGAGCUGAAUCACCAGACAGCGGGACAAAGCGGGCCAGCUUCUCCCCGUCCUCUGCUUCCAUGGGAACCGGGUCCAGCCUCCUCAAGGGCCUUCCUGACAGCUCCGGCCCUGCCCUCUGCCCUCUGCCCUCUGGGUCCCGGCAGCGCUCCCUGGCCAAGCUCCUCAAGUAACCCUUGCUUGGUUAACGGGCAAAAUGCACCACAGCCAACUGUGAUCUUCAGGGGAGGGAGGGCCCGUCUGACACUGAUUCCAGGUGCUAGCAAAGCACUCUAAAAUAUGUCGAGGAGAGGCUUCAGAGAGAUUAACGCAGCACGACCAUCAUCUGCGGAGCCAGGCCAUAUGCCAGGGCGGCCAAGAUUUCCCCUGCAACACUGGUCUCACACUUCAACCAUGACCUCCAUUCACGUAUAUAUAUGUAAGAGCUUAAUUAGGAUAUAAUUCACUUGCCAUGAAAUUCACCCUCUAAAACAUACAAUUCAGUGAUUUUUAGUGUAUUCACAGAGUUGUGCAGCCACCACCAUUUCCAGAACAUUCUCUCACCCC
rnacentral:lncRNA from 10 species